AUACGUAGGUGGCGAGCGUUGUCCGGAAUUACUGGGCGUAAAGGAUGCGUAGGUGGAUAUUUAAGUGGGAUGUGAAAUCCCCGGGCUCAACCCGGGAACUGCAUUCCAAACUGGGUAUCUAGAGUGCAGGAGAGGAAAGCGGAAUUCCUAGUGUAGCGGUGAAAUGCGUAGAUAUUAGGAGGAACACCAGUGGCGAAGGCGGCUUUCUGGACUGUAACUGACACUGAGGCAUGAAAGCGUGGGUAGCAAACAGGAUUAGAUACCCUGGUAGUCCACGCCGUAAACGAUGGGUACUAGGUGUAGGAGGUAUCGACCCCUUCUGUGCCGUCGUUAACACAAUAAGUACCCCGCCUGGGGAGUACGGUCGCAAGACUAAAACUCAAAGGAAUUGA
rnacentral:rRNA from 1 species